UGUUUUUGUGGCUCCACAGCCCCCGGCACUUACACAGAAGUGGCCCUGCCAAUCUGCUACAAGUUACGCCUGGGUAACUGGAGGCAUGGAUCCACAUAACCUGUUGCAUUCACACAACAGAACACAAUUGAGACGUAGGAAGACGGAUGAGGAAGAGUGAUGUGUGUCAGCACGGAGAGGCCCUGAAAACAUGGUCGAGCCUCCGAAAAAAGAAGAGAGAUCAGGGAUCAAACAAGAG
rnacentral:sRNA from 1 species